AUGAGGGUACACCCUUUCAGGAAUAAGGCCAACCCCAAGGCCAAAAAGGAGGACCCCUUUAGCAAACAGCACAACCCCAAGGCCAAAAGGGAGCACCCCUUGAACAAAAUCCUAACCCCGAGGCCUGUGUCUGUGGCUUUGGCUGUGGCUUUAGGCCCUGGGGCUGGUUCCAGGUUCUCCUCUCAGUUCCUUACGCACCUUUGGAAUUUCAAAUUAACGACCACGAUACCAAUUGCUGUGAAUGUUUUCCUCCUAAUAAUAAUUUACAUUAUGUGGAGGAAACCUUCCCCGAAACCAGAAAAUGCUGAGUGGCAGGGAAUAUGGAGAGGCCUAGGGCAGACCUUAGAAACAUGGGGACCCCCGUUGUCUUGGGAUUUCACUCUUGAACACCCGUGGGACCCUGAGAAGCUUGGUCAGUAUUUGAGUCAGGGACAGUGUGGCCUGGGUAGAUCUGAGGAGGCACGACUUAUUUGGGGCCUGGCUUGUGCUUAUCGAGUCCUAUAUAAUUCUGUUCUUGAGAGAGAGAGUUUCCUGGCUGAGAUUCAAACCAGAGGGGGAAGUCUCCAAGCCAAACCUGAGCAACCACAGGAGGCACCGGUAUCGGUGGCAAUUGGCCCUGUGGAAAGACAGAAAUGGAGACGGGUGUUCUUGCGGCUGGAACGGAAGGAAGAAGCGGAGAAGGUAGAGGAAGAUCCAGGGGAAGGGCCCUCCCGAAAACCAUCAUCACCGAGAAAGGCAACAGAAAAAACAAAGAGACAUGGAGAGGAGAGCGAGGAGGAGGAUGUCACUAUUACAACUGUUCGCCGACCUCUGAAAAUGACCGAGAUCCAAGGCUCAAGAAAAGAGUUUACACAGCACCUGAACAAAACCAUUGUCACCUGGUUGCUUCGGUGUUGGGACAACAGGGCCAGCAGUGUGUUUUUGAAUGGUAAUGAAGCUCGCCAACUAGGAAGCAUUGCCAGGGACUCAGCCAUUGACAGAGGGAUUAGUAGAUGCCAGGAUGGAGCGGCCACCCUUUGGGAACGAGUGUUAUUAGCAGCGAAGGAAAGAUAG
rnacentral:lncRNA from 1 species